rnacentral:lncRNA from 1 species
UUCUUUAGAGUCUGUCUGGCGCGAUGCAUGUGGGUGGCGGCGGCUGCACGCGAGGAGCCAUGCUCUAGCGUUGCUUCCCCAAGCGCCGGCAAUAAUUACCCUCACUUUUCCUUAUCGUUCUCUCUUCCCUCCCUCUCCAUUCUCCAUUCUCCAUCGGUUACGACGGCGUUCAACGGAUUGGAGAACAAAGACAUUUUCUUUAGAGCCAGUCUCGCGCGAUGCACGUGGACGGGGCGGCUACAUGCGAGG